UACAGAGGGGGCAAGCGUUGUUCGGAAUUACUGGGCGUAAAGGGCGCGUAGGCGGCCGCCUAAGUCAGACGUGAAAUCCCUCGGCUCAACCGGGGAACUGCGUCUGAUACUGGGUGGCUUGAAUUCGGGAGAGGGAUGCGGAAUUCCAGGUGUAGCGGUGAAAUGCGUAGAUAUCUGGAGGAACACCGGUGGCGAAGGCGGCAUCCUGGACCAUUACUGACGCUGAGGCGCGAAAGCUAGGGGAGCAAACGGG
rnacentral:rRNA from 1 species